UUUAUUUUAUUUAUUUAUUUGAAUAGGGACAAUGCACAUUAAUGAACAUCAGUAUAAAAACAAAUGUAAAUAUGCCGGAUUAUAGCUACAAAGCUAGUUUUCAUCCGUAGUCCCUAGGCAGGCAAAUACAUAAGAAAGAAAAUAUAAUAUAUGAAAUAAACAACACAAGGGAAUGUUAAAAGUCUAGUGUAUCUAGUCUGUAUGUA